AAACUCAAAGGAAUUGACGGGGGCCCGCACAAGCGGCGGAGCAUGUGGCUUAAUUCGACGCAACGCGAAGAACCUUACCAAGGCUUGACAUACACCGGAAACAUCCAGAGAUGGGUGCCCCCUUGUGGUCGGUGUACAGGUGGUGCAUGGCUGUCGUCAGCUCGUGUCGUGAGAUGUUGGGUUAAGUCCCGCAACGAGCGCAACCCUUGUCCCGUGUUGCCAGCAGGCCCUUGUGGUGCUGGGGACUCACGGGAGACCGCCGGGGUCAACUCGGAGGAAGA
rnacentral:rRNA from 1 species